UUCAAAUAAAAAGGCUAUGUGAACUUAUAAAUGCUUUUUGCAGUUUGUUAAAUUACAAUUGUGGUCACUAUUUAUAGCUCAGUUCCUUUUGAUGUUUGGAACUCAGACACGUAAUUGCAGUCGCUGAGAUAUCUGAAGUUUCAAAAAACAGAUUAUUUCUUAGAAGCACUUGCUCUACAGUUUCAAUACGGACAGAAACAACCUGUUCCAAGAUAAUGGCACUUGAUGAUCUGCCCUUUUCUGGAAAAUUCUGGAAUGUGGGCCAACUACUUUAUUGCAAAAUUCUGCAGUGUCCAGCUAUAUGGACUACAAAUCCUGACUAUAAGCGAUCUUGACCACAUGA